rnacentral:rRNA from 1 species
GACGAACGCUGGCGGCGUGCUUAACACAUGCAAGUCGAACGGAAAGGCCCUGCUUUUGUGGGGUGCUCGAGUGGCGAACGGGUGAGUAACACGUGAGUAACCUGCCCUUGACUUUGGGAUAACUUCAGGAAACUGGGGCUAAUACCGGAUAGGAGCUCCUGCUGCAUGGUGGGGGUUGGAAAGUUUCGGCGGUUGGGGAUGGACUCGCGGCCUAUCAGCUUGUUGGUGGGGUAGUGGCUUACCAAGGCUUUGACGGGUAGCCGGCCUGAGAGGGUGACCGGCCACAUUGGGACUGAGGUACGGCCCAGACUCCUACGGGGGGCAGCAGUGGGGAAUAUUGCACCAUGGGCGGAAGCCUGAUGCAGCAACGCCGCGUGCGGGAUGACGGCCUUCGGGUUGUAAACCGCUUUCGCCUGUGACGAAGCGUGAGUGACGGUAAUUGGUAAAGGAGCAACGGGUAACUACGUG